UACGUAGGGUGCAAGCGUUGUCCGGAAUUAUUGGGCGUAAAGAGCUCGUAGGCGGUUUGUCGCGUCGAAUGUGAAAACCCGGGGCUCAACCCCGGGCCUGCAUUCGAUACGGGCAGACUAGAGUUCGGUAGGGGAGUCUGGAAUUCCUGGUGUAGCGGUGAAAUGCGCAGAUAUCAGGAGGAACACCGGUGGCGAAGGCGGGACUCUGGGCCGAUACUGACGCGGAGGAGCGAAAGCGUGGGGAGCAAACAGG
rnacentral:rRNA from 1 species